AACUUUCAACAAUGGAUCACUAGGCUCUUGCAACGAUGAAGAACGCAGCGAAAUGCGAUAAGUAAUGUGAAUUGCAGAAUUCCGUGAAUCAUUAAAUCUUUGAACGCACCUUGCACCCUUUGGCAUUCCGAAGGGUAUGCUCGUUUGAGUGUCAUUGUACUCUCACACUCCCAAUGCUUUUGGAUUGGGAGCGGUGGACUUGGGUGUUGCUGCUUUACGGUGGCUCGCCUCAAAUGGAGUAGUGCAACUCUUGGUUGGACAUAGUACGGCGUGAUAAGUGUCUUCGCCGGCGCCUCACUAGAGGGUGGCUGAUCAGGAUCUCUGUGCUCCAAACCGUCUUCGGACAAUCUCUGACAACUUGACCUCAAAUCGAGUAGGACUACCCGCUGAACUUAAGCAUAUCAAUAAGCGGAGGCU
rnacentral:misc_RNA from 1 species